rnacentral:lncRNA from 1 species
GUGACACUGGGGACACAACCGACACCAGGCACAACAGGGACGCUGGGGACACCAGGGACACCCGUGACAAUGGGGACACCACUGACACCAGGGACAAUGGGAACAACAGGGACACCUGUGACACUGGGGACACAACCGACACCAGGCACAACAGGGACACUGGGGAUGACCGGGACAACAGGGACACCCAUGACACUGGGGACACCACUGACGACGGGGACAAUGGGAACAACAGGGACGCCCGUGACAAUGGGGACACAACUCACAACAGGGACACCGGGGACUCAACUGACAAUGGGGGACACCGGGGACACAAGCAACACUGAUGUUACCAAGGAGGCCAGUGACACCAGGGACACCGCAGCACGGCACAGUCGGGGCCAUGGGGACAGAGCCCUGGUGCCAGCGGAGCUCCCAGUACCACCAGUUCCCUCCCAUUUCCCCCAGUGCUCCCCCAAGCCCCUCCCAGUACCUGGCCCAGGCCUCCCCGACCGGCUCCCAGUACCCCC